rfam:Chaetura pelagica isolate M959 contig62952, whole genome shotgun sequence.
GUCCAAAAUACAGUGAUUUUCCACACACAUAUCUGAUUGCUCUAUGUGGAAGAUUACUGUUGUUGAGUGAUUUUGGAU